rnacentral:rRNA from 1 species
GAUGAACGCUGGCGGCGUGCCUAAUUCAUGCAAGUCGAGCGAACAGACGAGGAGCUUGCCCCUCUGACGUUAGCGGCGGACGGGUGAGUAACACGUGGAUAACCUACCUAUAAGACUGGGAUAACUUCGGGAAACCGGAGCUAAUACCGGAUAUUAUAUUGAACCGCAUGGUUCAAUAGUGAAAGACGGUUUUGCUGUCACUUAUAGAUGGAUCCGCGAGGCAUUAGCUAGUUGGUAAGGGAACGGCAUACCAAGGCGACGAUGCGUAGCCGACCUGAGAGAAGGAACCGCGACACUGGAACGGAGACACGAUCAUGACUCCUACGAGAGGCGCCAGUAGGGCAGCUUCCGUCAUGCAGGAACGCCUGAAGCAGAAACACCGAGUGAGUGUAACGGGACUUGGGAUCUGCAAGCUGUGUUAUGAGGGAGGAAAAAAUGUGUAAGUAUAUAAGCACGUCUUGACGGUACCUAAGCAGAAAGCCACGGCUAACUACGUG